CAGUCGCCACGGUAAAACGAAGGGGGCUAGCGUUGCUCGGAAUGACUGGGCGUAAAGGGCGCGUAGGCGGAUCACGCAGUCAGAUGUGAAAUUCCUGGGCUUAACCUGGGGGCUGCAUUUGAGACGCGUGGUCUAGAGUGUGAAAGAGGGUCGUGGAAUUCCCAGUGUAGAGGUGAAAUUCGUAGAUAUUGGGAAGAACACCGGUGGCGAAGGCGGCGACCUGGUUCAUAACUGACGCUGAGGCGCGAAAGCGUGGGGAGCAAACAGGAUUAGAUACCCCGGUAGUCCCUGUCUCUUAUAC
rnacentral:rRNA from 1 species